AUGCUCUUCUCCUCCCGCAAGACCUCUCCAUCCGCGGGGAGGGAGGGAGGGGGGGGAGAAGAAGGGGGGCGAGUAGGCGGAGAGAGGCUCGGCUUCCUCCACUUUGCCAUCCGGGCGCCUUGUUUACCCAGCCAGGUCUCUUCCCUUCAAGCCCUACCUGUCUUCCUCACCCCAACCCCCACCCUUUCCCCUCCUCGCCUUUCCCCUCCUUUCUUUUUGAUGUCUUUGGUUUCCUUUCCUCCUUUCCCCCGGAUCGGCAUGGACCUCUCGGAUUGCUACCCAAGGUGGCGGCAACGCGCAAUGGAUUACGGAUCCGCCUCCGCCUCGCCAACGGGGCAACGGACGGGGUUCGGGACAAUGGAAGGACGCCUACAGUAAGUACAUUCUUGCAAAAUAUAUGCAUUUAUCUAUAUGCUGUGGUGGUUUUCAAGCAUUACCUUGAGCUGCUGACGUGGUAGGAAGAGAUCAUUCAUUCUUGGUGUGUUUCUAUGAGGCUUGUUUGUCCUGGAGGCUUCAGUGUGACUUUCUUCUCACCUCCUCGCCAGUGCUCCACGUGUAUGUUGGCAAAUGGCAGCAAAGACUGAUGGUACACACUCCAAGGAGGGACAUUACAGGGUUGCACAGGUGCCAGGUGUCAUGUUCUGACUUCUCCUCAGGACCUUCCAGCUCAGGAGCAGGAUUAGCCCUUUUAAUAGGAAAAGGCUAUGAAGCAUCUGCUCCAGCAAAUGCUCAGGAACCUUUGCUUCUCUUUCACUGUAGAUGCAACGUCCCUUUGAAGGGUGAAGUGAUAUUCCAAUAAGGCUGGUGGCUUUAAAAAAUGUUGAUUGGCCCCUUCCUUGUGCCUAAACAAAUUUAUUUUGCUCCUUAUUGUCAACUGUGACACAUAUUCUAAUCUGUUUGAGAUUAAGGCUGGAUCUACUUUGCCAUAUAAUCUAGUUUGAACUGCAUGUACAAUGCAGUUUGAACUGCAUUAUGUGGAUCUACAUUGACUGAUACGGCAGUGUAGAUCCAGCCCCAGACAAGGUGAUGCGAUGAUGCUAUUGCUUAGCGCUGUAAUGAUUUGGUGGCAUUUUAAGUGUCCCCAAGACAGGCUGACAUUUAUACGCAUCACAGCAGGAAAAGGGGAUAAUGUGACAAUUUGAACUGAGUGGGAAUGGUUCAACUGCAGCUUAGGUUUGUGAUAAGGAGGGGCCAGAGAAAUGCCUCCAUCUGGACAAAGGGGGAGGAAGGAACGAAAAAAGGCGAUGGUUAUUUAUUAAAUGGUUUUUGCAUCACCUAUUUGUACAGCUACUGUGGCACUAUUAUAUGUUUUGAUGUAUUUUAGCCUACAAUGUUCUACUUUCCUAAACAAUUUGGGUUGCUGAAUCUCUAAACUCAUUUUGUGCCACUUAGUGUCUCCUCCACCCUUUCCUCUGGCUUUGUGAAGUGUAUCUUGCUUAGUUUAAAUCCAAGGCCAAUAUUUCGGAUCGUUCUGUAUAACACUGAAAUUAUAUUGUUGGUGUGUAUGGCAUUCUGAUCACUCUAAACCACUACCCUGAAGGAGACAGAUUUUCUUGUCUUGUGGAAAGCUCUUUUGCUCUGGCUUCAAUUUGCUUUGGCGGAGAAACAAGGCUCCCUUUCUGUUCUUCUCUUUCUUUUUCUUAAAAGGGGGCAAAAUCUUCCUUAAACGUAGCUUGGGUAUACUGAUUAUGAACCAGAACACAAAAAGGCCCGAUGGAUCAAAAGAAUUUGCAUGGGCAGUUGAGCAGGAGGUGAAUAUUUAACGCUUUUGUUCAUCAAUAACUCCUUUGGCUUUGACCUGUCUGAACAAGUCUCUACCAUAAGGUGAAACACAGGUCACAGCGUCUAACAAAUAUGAAAAUUUGUGGUAUUGCUCGAAAUAUCUGCGAGAGAUCUUUGGCUCCGCUCACUGAUUUCUAUCCUGUUCUUUUGCCUCUUCUCUCAAAAGCAACGUAUUUUGUCCGAAAAGAAACACAGAUUUUCUGUAGAGCUGGCUGCUAAUGUGUUUUGUGGUUGAAGACUUAUUAACCAACAGCAGCAAGACAAGGAAGAACUCGCCCAGUCUUGUAAUAAGGAACUAUAAUGCUUUUCGGAAAAAAGAAAGAUAAGGCUUUAAGCAGCUCAGGGCACUUCCAUACAGCCAUAUAAAUCAGAAUAUCAAGGCAGAAAAUCCCACAAUAUCUGCUUUGAACUGGGUUAUCUCUGUUCACGCUGCCAUAUAUUCCAGUUCAAAGCAGAAAAUGUGGGAUUUUAUUCAGCUGUGUGGAAGGGGCCUCAGAAAAGAGAGUUGAAGUGAAUCUAAAGACCAGUUUGAUCUCCUCUUUCCAUUAUAAGAAGACCAUCUUCCUUGAAAUAAAAGCCCUCCCUCCAAAACCCAAAGUCCUUGGGAAACCAACGACUCACGAUGUUUGAUGGCCUCCACAGAUCUAAAAACCCCUAUUCUUUAUCGCUGGUCAGAAAAGUGGAGGGAAGGAGCAAGAGAGAGAGAGAGAAGAGAGGGGAUUGACAACAAGACCGGGUCAUCCACAAUACAUGAACUUUUGGACUCCAGUCUGUUGCUGUCGACAACGCAGAAAUAAUGAAACACUGGGAUUUGUUUGUAAAUGAUUUAGAAUGACCCCGCCCUGCCCUUCACCAUAAACGCCACUAUCCGAAAAACUGAGACCCAGAUAGAUUUCCCUAUUAGGUGGAAGGCGUCAAAAGUCAAGGCAUUACUUUUGUUUUAAGAGAAAGUUAGAUUUGUGUACUGAGAGUCAAUCCUUUCCGCAGUGUUUUAUUUUAAUUUGAAACCAUAAUUUGAUCUUGUUAGUAUUAUUAAUACCACCAUUAUUUCAAAUAGUAUUAUUUCAAAUAUUAUUAUUAACAUUAUUAUUUAAUAUUAUUAAAUAGUAUUAUUUCAAAUAGUAUUAUUAAUACCACUACUAUAUCAAAUCAAUGAAAAAAACACUCCAUAUUCUUGUGAGCAGCCAUCAUCUAUCAUCAAGGAAAUUCCAUUUCCUCCAGAGCCCAUUUAAAUGCCGAAACACAUCCGUAGCUUUGUCACUUCAAAGAUCACAAAUCCGUCGUUGGGGUAUAUUUAUAACGAUAAUAAUACAUGUGUCUGGGGACUUUUUAUUAUUUUUCGGGUGUUUGGGGAUAGGGUGGUGGGGAGAUGGAUCUUCUCUCGUGAAAUCAUCCCAUUUUUUCCCACCCGUGAUCCCAGACUUUUACCCCCAACAGAAAGUAGUAUGGAUUCCUCGGAAGAAAACCAAAGGGAUCCGGACAUUGCAGAGACCUGCCUUUUGUCACCUUGAGUAAGAUGAAAAACAGAAUGUUAUUACGUUGUCUAUAUAUACCCUGUAGAACCGAAUUUGUGUGGUAUUUACACAGUCACAGAUUCGAUUCUAGGGGAAUAUAUGGUCGAUGCAAAAACUUCACUUUUCUGCAAAUGGUUAGAAGUUUCACAGGUAGAAGAAAUCCCAAGAGAGAUGCAAUGCUGGAUGCUGUAUUUUCUAGAGCCAAGGACAUUUCGUCACAGCGCCUUCUCUGUUGUUUAGUCAUGCAUCCUAUCAUAAACUUGUCCAUAUACAUAUAAUUAUUAGCACCAAGAAUCUGGGGGAAAAUAUCUACCUGAGCAGCUAAAUGCUUCCAACAACAACAACAAUUCUGAUUAUAAUGGUGGUGGUAAUAAUAAUAAUAAUAAUAAUAAUAAUAAUAAUAAUAAUAAUAAUAAUAAAAGAGAUAGGUGUAUUGUGUUGGCGAAGGCUUUUAUGGCCGAAAUCACUGGGUUGCUGUGAUUUUUCCGGACUGUGUUCCAGAAGCAUUAUCUCCUGAUCUUUCGCCCACAUCUAUGGAAGGCAUACUCAGAGGUUGUAUUAUUCUAGAUGAUGCAAUUAUAAUAAUGAUGAUAAAAAGAUGGCUAAACCGCACACUCCCUUUCCCAUGUCCUGAUUCCCCCCCUCCCCCCCCCAUAUUUUUAUUCUAAACGUUGGGAACAAUAGUAUCGAUUUACAGGUUCUGGGAAUGCAGAACCUGUAAAUCGCAACUGAAUAUGGGAAUGGUCUAAUACAAAUUGAAUGUCGUGAAUACACACACACACAUGAAUAGCUGAACUUCAUAACUCUCCCAACAGUUCCUUGCCAUCUGAAUAUUUUGUGAAUAUUGUUGUAAUUAUUUUGUGAAUAUGAUUUGUUAAUAUUUUCAUGGCUAUUUUUGGGAAUAUUUUUAUGAAUAGUUUCAUGAUUAGUUUUGUGAAUAUUUUCAUGAUUAUUUUGUGACUAUUUUGUGAUUAUUUAAUUUGAAUAUUCUCAUGAUGAUUUUCGCGAAUAUUUUUUGUGAAUAGGUGGGGUUAGUUGUUUUGAAACAAGAUCUUUGUUGUCACCAUUCCCGGGUAAAAAUCGACCCUGGUUACUCAUUGCCUGAUUAUUUUUUUUAUUCUGCCCAGCGAGAUCCUGGGUAACUUUUGGUUGACCCCGACCAAACAAAGGCAAGGCAGAUCAAUUGUACUUCGAGCCCCACUUGUUUGAGGUCGCCUCCUCCUUUUCCUGAGAGUCAAGGCUUGCUCCAUUCCUCUGUCUUCACUGAGUUGGCUUUUCUUGGCCCAAACGUAUCCAGGUCGUGUCCACCAUUUAAACCACAAGGCACCAGAUGUUAGCAAAGUCAAUGGAGACAAUAGACGUUGAUUUACCUGGGGUGGGGGCUUUGCUUGGCUUGGUUGGGGGGGGAGGUCGAGGGCGGAUGGGGUUGUGGGAGUUGUCACAAGGAGCCGGUUCGUGGCAUUGCUACCUCUUCUUCUUCGGGGAGGCACCACGCAUGACCGCAUGCGGGUGUUCCCCCCCUUCCCCCUUAUAUUAUUUAGAGAAAUUUGUGAAAUUAUGAGGUACACACACGAAAUCCGGUGAUCACCCUCCCCGCCUCGCCAUUGGCUGCGCGGGUCACGUGGGCGGCCAACUUUAUUCAGUUGACAGCAAGUAGGAGGGCUUUGUGGGGAAGGGGGGAGGAAAAAAAAGACAACACGAGAGGGAGAAAAAAAUUAGUAU
ensembl:lncRNA